rnacentral:tRNA from 1 species
UGCGUCUAUAGCCAAGCUGGUCAAGGCAGGGGAUUCUAAAUCCCUGAUCAUGGGUUCGAAUCCCAUUGGACGCACCAA